rnacentral:rRNA from 1 species
GUCCACGCUGUAAACGAUGUCUGCUAGCCGUUGGGAUCCUUGAGGUCUCGGUGGCGCAGCUAACGCGAUAAGCAGACCGCCUGGGGAGUACGGCCGCAAGGUUAAAACUCAAAUGAAUUGACGGGGGCCCCGCACAAGCGGUGGAGCAUGUGGUUUAAUUCGAUGCAACGCGAAGAACCUUACCAGGUCUUGACAUCCAGAGAACUGUCCAGAGAUGGACGGGUGCCUUCGGGAACUCUGAGACAGGUGCUGCAUGGCUGUCGU